rnacentral:rRNA from 1 species
CACGUAGGGCGCAAGCGUUGUCCGGAAUUAUUGGGCGUAAAGAGCUCGUAGGCGGACUGUCACGUCUGCUGUGAAAAGCUGGGGCUUAACCCUGGCCUUGCAGUGGAUACGGGCAGACUAGAGGUAGGUAGGGGAGAAUGGAAUUCCCGGUGUAGCGGUGAAAUGCGCAGAUAUCCGGAGGAACACCAGUGGCGAAAGCGGCCACCUGGACUGCACCUGACGCUGACACGCGAAAGCUAGGGGAGCGAACGGG